GACUUUAAGUUAUAUUAAACUAAAAACCUUCAAAGUUUAAAAAGACCAUAAAUCAAGUCUUG
rnacentral:tRNA from 1 species